CCUACGGGGGGCAGCAGUGGGGAAUAUUGGACAAUGGGGGGAACCCUGAUCCAGCCAUGCCGCGUGUGUGAAGAAGGCCCUCGGGUUGUAAAGCACUUUCAGUGAGGAAGAACGCCUGGUGGUUAAUACCCAUCAGGAAAGACAUCACUCACAGAAGAAGCACCGGCUAACUCCGUGCCAGCAGCCGCGGUAAUACGGAGGGUGCGAGCGUUAAUCGGAAUUACUGGGCGUAAAGCGCGCGUAGGUGGCUUGAUAAGCCGGUUGUGAAAGCCCCGGGCUCAACCUGGGAACGGCAUCCGGAACUGUCAGGCUAGAGUGCAGGAGAGGAAGGUAGAAUUGCCGGUGUAGCGGUGAAAUGCGUAGAGAUCGGGAGGAAUACCAGUGGCGAAGGCGGCCUUCUGGACUGACACUGACACUGAGGUGCGAAAGCGUGGGUAGCAAACAGGAUUAGAUACCCCAGUAGUC
rnacentral:rRNA from 1 species